rnacentral:rRNA from 1 species
UGGGGAAUCUUGGACAAUGGGCGCAAGCCUGAUCCAGCCAUGCCGCGUGAGUGAUGAAGGCCUUAGGGUUGUAAAGCUCUUUUUGCCGGGGACGAUAAUGACGGUACCCGGAGAAUAAGUCCCGGCUAACUCUGUGCCAGCAGCCGCGGUAAUACAGAGGGGGCAAGCGUUGUUCGGAAUCACUGGGCGUAAAGCGCACGUAGGUGGAUAGUUAAGUUCGGGGUGAAAUCCCAGGGCUCAACCCUGGAACUGCCUCGGAUACUGGCUAUCUCGAGUCCGGAAGAGGUGAGUGGAAUUCCUAGUGUAGAGGUGAAAUUCGUAGAUAUUAGGAAGAACACCGGUGGCGAAGGCGGCUCACUGGUCCGGUACUGACACUGAGGUGCGAAAGCGUGGGGAGCAAACAGGAUUAGAUACCCAUGUAGUCCCUGAGCGGGCUGGCAAGGCGCAU